AAGCGAACGAGGGGAACUGAAACAUCUAAGUACCCUUAGGAAAAGAAAUCAACAGAGAUUCCCCUAGUAGCGGCGAGCGAACGGGGAGCAGCCGAGUAGUAAUGAAGUAGUGGAAUGUGUUGGAAAGCACAGCGAUACAGGGUGAUAGCCCCGUACACGAAGCGUCAUUAUUGCCAUAUUAAGUAGGUCGGGACACGUGUUAUCUUGACUGAAGAUGGGGGGACCAUCCUCCAAGGCUAAAUACUCCUAACUGACCGAUAGUGAACCAGUACCGUGAGGGAAAGGCGAAAAGAACCCCUGUGAGGGGAGUGAAAUAGAACCUGAAACCGUGUACGUACAAGCAGUAGGAGCCCACUUGUUGGGUGACUGCGUACCUUUUGUAUAAUGGGUCAGCGACUUAUAUUUAGUAGCAAGGUUAACCGAAUAGGGGAGCCGUAGCGAAAGCGAGUGUUAACUGCGCGUUUAGUUGCUAGGUAUAGACCCGAAACCGAGUGAUCUAGCCAUGGGCAGGUUGAAGGUUGAGUAACAUCACCUGGAGGACCGAACCGACUAACUUUGAAAAGUUAGCGGAUGACUUGUGGCUGGGGGUGAAAGGCCAAUCAAACUCGGAGAUAGCUGGUUCUCCCCGAAAGCUAUUUAGGU
rnacentral:rRNA from 1 species